GACGAACGCUGGCGGCGUGCUUAACACAUGCAAGUCGAACGGAAAGGCCUUUUCGGAGGUACUCGAGUGGCGAACGGGUGAGUAACACGUGGGUGAUCUGCCCUGCACUCUGGGAUAAGCCUGGGAAACUGGGUCUAAUACCGGAUAGGACCGCACUUCAGCGUGUGCGGUGGAAAGUUUUUGCGGGGGAGGAUGAGCCCGCGGCCGUUCAGCUUGCUGGUGGGGUACUGGCCCACCAAGGCGGCGGCGGGCAGCCGGACGGAGAGGUUGGUCGGCCACGUUGGGACUGGGAUACGGCCCGGACGCCGACGGGAGGCAGCAGGGGGGAAUAUUGCACAAUGGGGGCAAGCCUGAUGCAGGGACGCCGCGUGGGGGAUGACGGGCUUCGGGUUGUAAACUCCGUUCGCCAGGGACGAAGCGUUUUGUGACGGUACCUGGAGAAGAAGCACCGGCUAACUACGUG
rnacentral:rRNA from 1 species